rnacentral:rRNA from 1 species
CCUACGGGUGGCAGCAGUGGGGGAUAUUGCACAAUGGGGGAAACCCUGAUGCAGCGACGCCGCGUGGGUGAAGAAGUAUUUCGGUAUGUAAAGCCCUAUCAGCAGGGAAGAAAGAAGACGGUACCUGACUAAGAAGCCCCGGCUAACUACGUGCCAGCAGCCGCGGUAAUACGUAGGGGGCGAGCGUUAUCCGGAUUCACUGGGUGUAAAGGGAGCGUAGACGGCCGUGCAAGCCAGGAGUGAAAGCCCGGGGCCCAACCCCGGGCCUGCUCUUGGAACUGUGCGGCUGGAGUGCGGGAGGGGCAGGCGGAAUUCCUGGUGUAGCGGUGAAAUGCGUAGAUAUCAGGAGGAACACCGGCGGCGAAGGCGGCCUGCUGGACCGCGACUGACGUUGAGGCUCGAAAGCGUGGGGAGCGAACAGGAUUAGAUACCCUGGUAGUC